GCCUACCUUCCACGCUCAAAGAUGGGUUGCUGUGGCUGUGGCUCCAAUUCAAGCUGUGGACCAAACAUCAUUUGCAUCCCCUGUAGUGGCGGUUGUGGCUGCGGUUGUGGCUGUGGUUGCGGCUGCUGUUGCUGCCCUUGCUGUUGCUGCUGCCCCAGCUGCUGCUGCAGCAGCCCCUGCUGCUGCUGUCCAUGCUGCUGCUGCUGCCCCAGCUGCUGCGGUUCCAGCGGUGGAUGCUGUGUCU